AAAAAGGUUCAUGACUGCGAAAACCUCCGCGACAACGAAAGUAGUGGUUAAUAUUUGGUUCCUUCUUUGAUUGUAUCUUCUCUGCAGUUUUCACAAAUAGGUCCUCAUGCUGCUCUUCAAUCCAUGCAGCUUCUCCGCCUUUGUCACAUGAAACCAAUAAAAAACCAGUAAGCAGUACAUCCAGAUUAAGAAGUACUUCAAUGGUACAUAUUCGGAGACGAUGCGUACUUCAAAGGAAAAACCAGUAAGCAGUACAUGCAACUUCUGCGUUGCGGAUCGUUGAUGCGUGUUGCUGAGUUCUUCGCAGGUUCGGAGAUGACAGUUUUUCUUAUGAUAUUUAUCAGGUACAUAUUCGCUUUCUCUUUCAAUUCUCUUUGUCUCUACUCUAUGCGAGAAAACCGUCCAUAUGAAUUGGAAUUGUUGUGUGCAGAAUCGUUGUUGUUGAGUUGUUGGUCGGUGUAUGGAUCUUUUCACAAAGUCACGGAAAGAUGAAUAAGUUCGUAUGAAGCUCUUUUGUUGCGAUUGUCGUGAACAGUGAUGUUGCAGAUACUUGGAAGUUUAAUGAAGGUGAUGGAAGGGAGUUGAAGUCUACAAGUUUCUAAACAAUGAAGGAAGAUGGUGAUAUGAAUGUUGGAGGAAGUUUUUUCUAUCAAGUUUUCGGCAUAGUUUCGGAGGAAGUAUUAAUAAAAACCAAAUGAAUAUUUGAUUGUUUUCAACAAGAGUAGGAAAAUAUGUCAUUAUCAUGUAACAGCAAAAUAUGACUAAGCUGUGUUAUGCUUUGGUGAAUAGGUCUACUUAACUAAGGUUAAUGUUUUGUCCUACUUAUGUAUAAACUCUAAGGUUGACCCUGUGAAUAUUAUGAAUGAUAACCACCAGCUGCACCA